UCCUGGCUUGUCAUUGAGGUGGACAAAUUG
rnacentral:piRNA from 1 species